GAUGAACGCUAGCGGCAGGCCUAAUACAUGCAAGUCGAACGGAGUCUUCGGACAUAGUGGCGCACGGGUGCGUAACACGUAUGCAACCUACCUUACAUUGGGGGAUAGCCUUUCGAAAGGGAGAUUAAUACCGCAUAAGACAGUAGCUGGGCAUCCAGCAGCUGUUAAAGAUUUAUCGAUGUAAGCUGGGCAUGCGUCCAAUUAGCUAGUUGGUGAGGUAACGGCUCACCAAGGCAAUGAUUGGUAGGGGAACUGAGAGGUCAAUCCCCCACACUGGCACUGAGAUACGGGCCAGACUCCUACGGGAGGCAGCAGUAGGGAAUAUUGGGCAAUGGACGCAAGUCUGACCCAGCCAUGCCGCGUGCAGGAUGAAGGCGUUGUGCGUUGUAAACUGCUUUUAUACAGGAAGAAACGACUCUUGCGAGAGGCAUUGACGGUACUGUAUGAAUAAGCACCGGCUAACUCCGUGCCAGCAGCCGCGGUAAAAC
rnacentral:rRNA from 1 species